AGGACGAACGCUGGCGGCGUGCUUAACACAUGCAAGUCGAGCGGAAAGGCCCUUCGGGGUACUCGAGCGGCGAACGGGUGAGUAACACGUGAGUAACCUGCCCCUAGCUCUGGGAUAGCUCCGGGAAACCGGGAUUAAUGCCAGAUACGACCACUUUAGACAUCUGUCGUGGUGGAAAGGAUUCCGGCUAGGGAUGGGCUCGCGGCCUAUCAGCUUGUUGGUGGGGUAACGGCCUACCAAGGCGACGACGGGUAGCCGGCCUGAGAGGGCGACCGGCCACACUGGGACUGAGACACGGCCCAGACUCCUACGGGAGGCAGCAGUGGGGAAUAUUGCGCAAUGGGCGAAAGCCUGACGCAGCGACGCCGCGUGGGGGAUGAAGGCCUUCGGGUUGUAAACCCCUUCAGCAGGGACGAAGCGAAAGUGACGGUACCUGCGAGAAGAAGCGCCGGCUAACGUACGCGCCAGCAGCCGC
rnacentral:rRNA from 1 species